rnacentral:sRNA from 1 species
CCCUAGCCCUGAUAGAAGCGGUAUCCUUUAUUAAAGCGAUUUUUCUUCGCUUUAAUAAAGAUACAAGCGGAUAGCAGGAAAUAGC